rnacentral:tRNA from 1 species
GGGCCUAUAGCUCAGUUGGUUAGAGCAUCUGACUCAUAAUCAGAGGGUCCGGGGUUCGAGUCCCUGUGGGCCCACAA